UACGGAGGGUGCAAGCGUUAAUCGGAAUUACUGGGCGUAAAGGGUGCGUAGGUGGUUAAUUAAGUUAUCUGUAAAAUCCCCGGGCUCAACCUGGGCAGGUCAGAUAAUACUGGUUAACUCGAGUAUGGGAGAGGGUAGUGGAAUUUCCGGUGUAGCGGUGAAAUGCGUAGAGAUCGGAAGGAACACCAGUGGCGAAGGCGGCUACCUGGCCCAAUACUGACACUGAGGCACGAAAGCGUGGGGAGCAAACAGG
rnacentral:rRNA from 1 species